rnacentral:tRNA from 1 species
GCAUCGGUGGUUCAGUGGUAGAAUUCUCGCCUGCUACGCGGGAGGCCCGGGUUCAAUUCCCGGCCGAUGCA